GCCACCAUAUCUCAGUCGUUAGAGCACUGGUCUUGUAAACCAGAGGUCGUGAGUUCGAUUCUCACUGGUGGCU
rnacentral:tRNA from 1 species